rnacentral:rRNA from 1 species
UGGACGAAAGUCUGACCGAGCAACGCCGCGUGAGUGAAGAAGGUUUUCGGAUCGUAAAGCUCUGUUGUAAGUCAAGAACGUGUGUGAGAGUGGAAAGUUCACACAGUGACGGUAGCUUACCAGAAAGGGACGGCUAACUACGUGCCAGCAGCCGCGGUAAUACGUAGGUCCCGAGCGUUGUCCGGAUUUAUUGGGCGUAAAGGGAGCGCAGGCGGUCAGGAAAGUCUGGAGUAAAAGGCUAUGGCUCAACCAUAGUGUGCUCUGGAAACUGUCUGACUUGAGUGCAAAAGGGGAGAGUGGAAUUCCAUGCGUAGCGGUGAAAUGCGUAGGAUAUAUGGAGGAACACCAGUGGCGAAAGCGGCUCUCUGGUCUGUCACUGACGCUGAGGCUCGAAAGCGUGGGUAGCGAACAGGAUUAGAUACCCUGGUAGUCCACGCCGUAAACGAUGAGUGCUAGGUGUUAGGCCCUUUCCGGGGCUUAGUGCCGGAGCUAACGCAAUAAGCACUCCGCCUGGGGAGUACGACCGCAAGGUUGAAACUCAAAGGAAUUGACGGGGGCCCGCACAAGCGGUGGAGCAUGUGGUUUAAUUCGAAGCAACGCGAAGAACCUUACCAGGUCUUG